UACAGAGGGGGCAAGCGUUGUUCGGAAUUACUGGGCGUAAAGGGCGCGUAGGCGGCCUGUUAAGUCGGACGUGAAAUCCCUCGGCUCAACCGGGGAACUGCGUCCGAUACUGGCGGGCUUGAAUUCGGGAGAGGGAUGUGGAAUUCCAGGUGUAGCGGUGAAAUGCGUAGAUAUCUGGAGGAACACCGGUGGCGAAGGCGGCAUCCUGGACCGACAUUGACGCUGAGGCGCGAAAGCCAGGGGAGCAA
rnacentral:rRNA from 1 species